UUUGGUAGUUUAUUGAGAUGAUCAAGGAAAGAAGGCAUAAACAAAGAAGCCACUGGGCUUUUCAAAGUUACUUUUCUAGCAUAAUGGGCCCGAGAGACCUAGCCUUAGAAAGGCAACCAGUAGGUUAAUGUGAGGUUUCUGUCUAAAUAAGGAUUAAGGUAGAGUAACUUUAUUAUCAUGUCAAUUGAAACUGGCCAGCCAGUUGGAAUCUUUUCUAGGAAGAGCAGUUUUUAGUUAGGGUUACUAUUGCUGUAAUGAAAGCCACAAAACAACUUGGGGACUAGGGUAUUUGGCUUGUUUACACUUCGACAACAGUAUCUAGGCAGUUCAGGUUCCUGGAGGCAGGAGCUGAUGCAGAGGACAUAGAGGAGUGCUGCUUCCUGCCUUGCUCCAGGGCCUUUCUUAAUGGAACCCAGGAGGAACAGCUGAGGGGCAGCCAUAUUCACAAUGGGCUGAACCCUCCCACAUCCAUACUAAUUAGGAAAAUGCCUUACAGGAUUGUCUACAGCAAGAUCCUUUUCUCAACUGAGGCUCCCUCCUUUCUGAAGAUUAGUUUGUAUCAAGUUGAUCUAAACUAGCCAGCACAAACAACUUGUUUCCGUUUGACUUUUGACUUCAUUUUGGCUUUUAGCUCACUGUGUUGGCCAAGUGCAAAAGUUUUCACUACAUAGACAACCUGCUGUAAUUUUUAUCUAACAAGUCUAUUAAAUAGAUGGACAGUAGGCACAUUAACAAGAGAAAGGUAUAUACAAUUUUGCACACAUGAAGGCACUACAUGAACAUCAAUAUUCAGCCCUCCUGUUAGCUGUAGGAGUUUAUAUAACUUCUCCACAUGGGGGGUGAGCAGUGGGUGGGCCACUGAGAAGAGUCAGAGCCCUCAAAAUCAGGACAGACUGAGUAUGGUGCUGACCUUAGUCCAUAAAGUCAGGCAGAUGCGGCUCGGGGGUACAGCAUUGGAACUGUGUACGUACAUUCAGCUGUCCUGGAAUUAGCUGUGGACCAGGCUGUAGAAAAUGUGCAAAAUGCCUUUGGUUCGGCAUCUCAAUGAAAACUAGGCCCGGUGGUUGUGAAGGAUGUCAUCCCAAACCUGUAAUUCUGGAAAGUUCAAAGUCAGAGGGAGCAACUAAGCUGCAACCUUUUCAAAAGAGGGCUGGGGUAGGCUUCUAGGGUAGAGUGUUUAGCAUGUACAAAGCCUUGGGGUUCAAUGUCUACCACUAGGAAAAUCAAAUUUUGCACUCAAAAACAAAACAAAAACGAGCAAAGGAAAAAAAAAAGAAUGCCAUGUGGUAAGAAGGUGGUUGAGGGUCUGGAGAGGUGGUUCAGUGGUUAAGAGCACUGGCUGUUCUCCCAGGAAGUCUUGAGUUCUAUUCCCAGCAUCCACAUGGCGGCUCACAUCACCUGUAAUGGGAACCGAUGUCCUCUUCUGGUUUGCCUGAAGACAGUGACAGUAUACUCAUAUUCAUAAAAUAAAUUCAUCUUUAUUUUAAAAAAGUGGUUGAAAUCCAGAUUCGGCACUCCAUGUAAGUAAUGAUGGGGCCUCUCACGGUUCAAGUAAGAUCAGGGCUGGGGACGGGGCACUGAGGAGGAUCUAAGUCGGGACCACAGCUCUCAACGUCCAUUGGGAGUGUGAGUCAUAUUAUGCUAGCAGCUCGUUAUCUCAGAAUCCACAGUCAGAGGCUGUGAGCGUCCUUCCUCCCAGCCUGCUUCCGGCAAACGCAGGAUUGUCUACAGGUCGCCUCAGGCUUUAGAGUCCUCCAGGCUCAGGGCUUGCGAAAGGUGGCGGUUUCCCACUCUAUUCAGUCGCCUAUAUAAACCCUCUAGAGUUCCACCAUGCUCAGCUCCGAGAAUCUUCAGGUCUGGGAGACGCGCGCUAUCGGAUCCGACGACCAAGGAAGCUGCUGUGCACGCUAGCUUCAGGGCCGGGCGGAAGUCGACGUC
ensembl:lncRNA